AACUUUCAACAACGGAUCUCUUGGCUCUCGCAUCGAUGAAGAACGCAGCGAAAUGCGAUAAGUAAUGUGAAUUGCAGAUUUUCAGUGAAUCAUCGAAUCUUUGAACGCACCUUGCGCCCCUCGGUAUUCCGAGGGGCAUGCCUGUUUGAGUGUCAUUA
rnacentral:rRNA from 1 species